ACCCCCUACAUAGGAAGAAAGAAAGAAAGAAAGAAAGAAAGAAAGAAAGAAAGAAAGAAAGAAAGAAAGAAAGAAAGAAAGAAAGAAAGAAAGAAAAAGUCAACAUCAAGAAAAGGCACUAGGGAGGAGGGUGGGAUGGGUUAAGGUACAAGGUACAAAGGAACGCUUCUUUGCAGGGAGGGGAGGGGAGGGGAGGACCACACCCUCUCUGCUUAAGGAAGACAGGUGGUUACUGGGGUAGUUAUGAUAAGGGAAGUACAGCUGAAUCUAGAAACAUGUGCCCUCCCUGUUGGGAUGAGCACUGGGUAUUGUUGUAUGGAAACCGACUUGAUAAAUUAUAUUUAAUAUAAAAAGUUAAAAACUAAUAAAAAAAAUAGAAACAUGUGCCCUCUGCUGGGCAGCUGAAGUUAGGCUGAUGACUCAGAAGCCCCCACCACCUCCACCUGGUGGUUGGAAGGAUAGGGUGUGAGGAUAGGGUGUGAGCCCAGGGGGCCGGGGAGCCCGAGGCAGCAAAGCUAACACAGGGUCAACCUGGCCAGCAACAGGCACAAUAUCUUUGCCUCACUCUUUUCCUUUCCAAAAAAUUAAAGGCAAAAAUAAACAUAUUAAUUGGCCAAUCGUGUAAAAUCAUUUUCAAUUUAAACUGUUUAGAUACUAGCUCUGGGGUAACGAAUAGCCUGCUGAAAACUAAAUUUCAUUUUAUGUCUUUUGACUGGUGAGCGUAAUAAUAUUUAAUUCACUUAAUAACCUUGCAACCUGGCCAAUAAAGAGCCCAAGUGACCAAUUUUAUGUAUUUUAAUUUGUGAGGUAAAUAAUAAACAAGAAGCUAAAUGCCUUGCAGACUGUGAAAAGCACAUUAACCAGAUGAAUGUCUUUUAUUAGCAAAUAUGGGGAUGGUUUAGGGCAUGCUGGCUGCUCAUUUCAAAUAUUUGAUCUCUGAUCACAGGCUUUCCUGAGUCAGCCCACAUGCUGCCACCAUGAUUCAUGGACCCACCCUCCUUGGCCUCCCUGGGGGAACAUUUCUUCUUCCCUUUGAAAAAUCACACAAGGAUUGGGAGCCCCCCCCACUGUCUGGUCAGGGCCAAAGUAAUCAAACUGUACCUGGACUUGAGAUGAGCUAAUAUUUACAGUGACACCGGUUAUAAGGAGGACACAAUGAAAAGGCCACCAUCUGCAAGACAGAAAGAGAGCUUUCACCAGGAACCGAAUCUGCUAGCAGGCAACUUGAUCGUGGACUUCCUACCCUCCAGAACUGAGAAACAAAUGUGUCUCAUUCCAGCCACCCAGCCCAUGGUAUUUUGCUACGAAGACGGUGUCCUUGGGUGGCCCGGAAACAGAUGGUGCAUAAUCCAUGUCACCUGUCUCUGUCCAGCAGUGGGCAGCCUGAGCUCCCACCCACCUACACUAAGUUUGCAGCUCUGGUGGGAAUGCAGAGUGGGGAAGGGCUGCAGCGGGUGGGCAGGGGAGGCCUUGACCUCCAGGCCAUAGAGCCUGGAGAAGAAGCCCCACUGCCCCGACUGGGAGCAUCAGAAGGAGAGAGGUAGCCAAACCAGCGUGGAGAGUGUCACUUUGGGAACGCAAGGCUUUGGGCAGAGCUUGGAACAAAAAAAGUGCACCUGUCACCUACCUCACUGUGUUUGGUCUCCCCGUAUCUGCCGUUGGGGUUGGCCAAGUGGCAGUUCUUAUACCACCAGCCACCAUGAUGUGUCAGGGCACAGUUGCUGAGGGCAAUAUCGUUGUCUCUGUCAAAAGUUGUAAACUUCCAUCCGUUGUGGUAAGUAAGAGCAUCCCCUGCGGGAGAGGAGAGAUGAGGGGUGAAUGGUGAAGUUCGGCCGCUGACAUGGUGAUGGAACUCUGGGCUCAGCAGGACAAUCUCUGGGCAUGAAAACGCCAAAGAUCUGGCCAUUUAUGUCACAGGUAAAUCACUCGUCUCUGAAAACGGCCAAGGGGAGGACAUGAUACAGACGAAGAGAUUCUCCUUCCUGGCCUGUCACCCAAACUUCAGGCCUGUUUCUCCAAUAGCUUCCAACAGCUUGCUCCCUUCCAGCAUUUUCACUCAGAGGCUACACAGUCACGUAAAAUAACCAAACAUCUGAAACCAAACUCGUCGGCUCUCCUCCCAGCACCUGACCACCCCUCUCCCAUAUUCCCUGCCCUCACUCGGCCAUCCUCUUAGCCACCCCAGCCUCGAACUCCGAGCCACAUCUGCCAAUCCCAUGUACCCCUCUACGGAGCCCUUCUUCCUGAGGAUCACUCACAGAUGGCCUCACUCCCGGGGCUGCCACACGGCCUGCUCUCCUCUCCUCGGGCCUGCAUCAGCACGACAACCCUCCCGGCCUUCCUGAAGCAUAAGUGUCCACUUUCAUGCUCUCAGGUCAAUGUCCUUCCCACCACCCACCACAGGGAAGGAGCCGCUCCUCCUUGCUUUGCUUUGCAGCCUGUAAUUUGGCUUGUACCCUUCGCACCAUCUCCUGGCCCGCUGUCCCCACAGGCACACACGGCUUGUGCAGCAGACAGGUCUGCCCUCCAUGCCUCUGCCCUCCCCGGUCCAACUCCUAAACGCCCCUCAAAGCCCAGCUGGACCCCACUCCUGAGGAAGGGUCGGUCUCCUUAAUAAUCCUCCCACACCCCCUCCCCAGCACACACUCCCGAGUUUCCCAGGCCCUCCUGGCACAUAUAUACAGUUCAGUGCUUCAUUACAUCCUGUCUGGAAAUCCGCUUGAAUCAUCUGACUUGUAUUUCUACCAUUUCCCCCAUGGUAUGUAUCAUCUUUGUAUCGGUUUACUUCUUAAUUCAGCUCAUAAAAGGUGACAAGGGCCUGAAUCAA